GAUGAACGCUGGCGGCGUGCCUAAUACAUGCAAGUCGAGCGAACAGACGAGGAGCUUGCUCCUCUUACGUUAGCGGCGGACGGGUGAGUAACACGUGGAUAACCUACCUAUAAGACUUGGAUAACUUCGGGAAACCGGAGCUAAUACCGGAUAAUAUAUUGAACCGCAUGGUUCAAUAGUUAAAGACGGUUUUGCUGUCACUUAUAGAUGGAUCCGCGCCGCAUUAGCUAGUUGGUAAGGUAACGGCUUACCAAGGCAACGAUGCGUAGCCGACCUGAGAGGGUGAUCGGCCACACUGGAACUGAGACACGGUCCAGACUCCUACGGGAGGCAGCAGUAGGGAAUCUUCCGCAAUGGGCGAAAGCCUGACGGAGCAACGCCGCGUGAGUGAUGAAGGUCUUCGGAUCGUAAAACUCUGUUAUUAGGGAAGAACAAAUGUGUAAGUAACUAUGCACGUCUUGACGGUACCUAAUCAGAAAGCCACGGCUAACUACGUG
rnacentral:rRNA from 1 species